AGUCGAACGAAGAGCGAUGGGAGCUUGCUCCUAUCAAUCUUAGUGGCGAACGGGUGAGUAACGCGUAAUCAACCUGCCCUUCAAUGGGGGACAACAGUUGGAAACGACUGCUAAUACCGCAUACGAUCGUAAUUCGGCAUCGAGAUACGAUGAAAGGUGGCCUCUAUUUAUAAGCUAUCGUUGAAGGAGGGGAUUGCGUCUGAUUAGCUAGUUGGAGGGGUAACGGCCCACCAAGGCAAUGAUCAGUAGCCGGUCUGAGAGGAUGAACGGCCACAUUGGGACUGAGACACGGCCCAAACUCCUACGGGAGGCAGCAGUGGGGAAUCUUCCGCAAUGGACGAAAGUCUGACGGAGCAACGCCGCGUGAGUGAUGAAGGUCUUCGGAUUGUAAAGCUCUGUUAAUCGGGACGAAAGAGCCUAGUGUGAAUAAUGCUAGGAAGUGACGGUACCGGAAUAGAAAGCCACGGCUAACUACGUGCCAGCAGCCGCGGUAAUACGUAGGUGGCAAGCGUUGUCCGGAAUUAUUGGGCGUAAAGCGCGCGCAGGCGGAUCUGCCAGUCUGUCUUAAAAGUUCGGGGCUUAACCCCGUGAUGGGAUGGAAACUACAGAUCUAGAGUAUCGGAGAGGAAAGUGGAAUUCCUAGUGUAGCGGUGAAAUGCGUAGAUAUUAGGAAGAACACCAGUGGCGAAGGCGACUUUCUGGACGAAAACUGACGCUGAGGCGCGAAAGCCAGGGGAGCGAACGGGAUUAGAUACCCCGGUAGUCCUGGCCGUAAACGAU
rnacentral:rRNA from 1 species